rnacentral:rRNA from 1 species
CCUACGGGGGGCAGCAGUGGGGAAUAUUGCGCAAUGGGCGAAAGCCUGACGCAGCGACGCCGCGUGCGGGAUGAAGGUCUUCGGAUCGUAAACCUCUGUCAGCAGGGAAGAACGGUCACUGUGCUAAUCAGCAGUGAAUUGACGGUACCUGCAAGGGAAGCACCGGCUAACUCCGUGCCAGCAGCCGCGGUAAUACGGAGGGUGCGAGCGUUAAUCGGAAUUACUGGGCGUAAAGCUCUCGUAGGCGGUAUGUGAAGUCAAGGGUGAAAUCCCCGCGCUCAACGUGGGAACUGCCUUUGAAACUGACAAACUAGAGGGUGUGAGAGGAGAGUGGAAUUCAAGGUGUAGGGGUGAAAUGCGUAGAGAUCUGGAGGAACAUCAGUGGCGAAGGCGACUAUCUGGCACAUAACUGACGCUGAGGAGCGAAAGCGUGGGUAGCAAACAGGAUUAGAUACCCCGGUAGUC